GUCGAGCGGACAGAUGGGAGCUUGCUCCCUGAUGUUAGCGGCGGACGGGUGAGUAACACGUGGGUAACCUGCCUGUAAGACUGGGAUAACUCCGGGAAACCGGGGCUAAUACCGGAUGCUUGUUUGAACCGCAUGGUUCAAACAUAAAAGGUGGCUUCGGCUACCACUUACAGAUGGACCCGCGGCGCAUUAGCUAGUUGGUGAGGUAACGGCUCACCAAGGCAACGAUGCGUAGCCGACCUGAGAGGGUGAUCGGCCACACUGGGACUGAGACACGGCCCAGACUCCUACGGGAGGCAGCAGUAGGGAAUCUUCCGCAAUGGACGAAAGUCUGACGGAGCAACGCCGCGUGAGUGAUGAAGGUUUUCGGAUCGUAAAGCUCUGUUGUUAGGGAAGAACAAGUACCGUUCGAAUAGGGCGGUACCUUGACGGUACCUAACCAGAAAGCCACGGCUAACUACGUGCCAGCAGCCGCGGUAAUACGUAGGUGGCAAGCGUUGUCCGGAAUUAUUGGGCGUAAAGGGCUCGCAGGCGGUUCCUUAAGUCUGAUGUGAAAGCCCCCGGCUCAACCGGGGAGGGUCAUUGGAAACUGGGGAACU
rnacentral:rRNA from 1 species